UAUUGUCUAAACAAUAAAACAACCAAUCAAUCACCGUGAUCACCUCUCUAGCAUACGGAUCUUUUAUGCAGAAACCACAUGGAUGAAAAAAUAUGCUUCGAAAAGCAAGGGCAGCCCAGCUCUCGCUUGUGAUUGCGGCGACCUGGUGGUCAGGUCAUCGGGGCGUUGGGCUUGUGCUUGCACGUUUGUUGCGACAGCGGCGGCGGCUAGGCGACAGCGACCUAACGCAUCCGCGUGGCAGGGCAUCGACUGCUGGCAGUGUGGCUGUGCAUCUGGACUGCAGGUCCGGCUUGCGCGUGAGGAGGAGCGGCAUUCUCCAAGGCAUGCGUGCUUGCAGCAGCAGCGUCCGGGCGCGGCGGCCGGCAUCUGCGAGGCCGAGGUGGUCGCAAGU
rnacentral:lncRNA from 1 species